GACGAACGCUGGCGGCGUGCUUAACACAUGCAAGUCGAACGGAAAGGCCCUGCUUUUGUGGGGUGCUCGAGUGGCGAACGGGUGAGUAACACGUGAGUAACCUGCCCUUGACUUUGGGAUAACUUCAGGAAACUGGGGCUAAUACCGGAUAGGAGCUCCUGCUGCAUGGUGGGGGUUGGAAAGUUUCGGCGGUUGGGGAUGGACUCGCGGCUUAUCAGCUUGUUGGUGGGGUAGUGGCUUACCAAGGCUUUGACGGGUAGCCGGCCUGAGAGGGUGACCGGCCACAUUGGGACUGAGAUACGGCCCAGACUCCUACGGGAGGCAGCAGUGGGGAAUAUUGCACAAUGGGCGGAAGCCUGAUGCAGCAACGCCGCGUGCGGGAUGACGGCCUUCGGGUUGUAAACCGCUUUCGCCUGUGACGAAGCGUGAGUGACGGUAAUGGGUAAAGAAGCACCGGCUAACUACGUGCCAGCAGCCGCGGUGAUACGUAGGGUGCGAGCGUUGUCCGGAUUUAUUGGGCGUAAAGGGCUCGUAGGUGGUUGAUCGCGUCGGAAGUGUAAUCUUGGGGCUUAACCCUGAGCGUGCUUUCGAUACGGGUUGACUUGAGGAAGGUAGGGGAGAAUGGAAUUCCUGGUGGAGCGGUGGAAUGCGCAGAUAUCAGGAGGAACACCAGUGGCGAAGGCGGUUCUCUGGGCCUUUCCUGACGCUGAGGAGCGAAAGCGUGGGGAGCGAACAGGCUUAGAUACCCUGGUAGUCCACGCUGUAAACGGUGGGUACUAGGUGUGGGGUCCAUUCCACGGGUUCCGUGCCGUAGCUAACGCUUUAAGUACCCCGCCUGGGGAGUACGGCCGCAAGGCUAAAACUCAAAGGAAUUGACGGGGCCCCGCACAAGCGGCGGAGCAUGCGGAUUAAUUCGAUGCAACGCGUAGAACCUUACCUGGGUUUGACAUGGAUCGGGAGUGCUCAGAGAUGGGUGUGCCUCCUUUGGGGUCGGUUCACAGGUGGUGCAUGCCUGUCGUCAGCUCGUGUCGUGAGAUGUUGGGUUAAGUCCCGCAACGAGCGCAACCCUUGUUCACUGUUGCCAGCACGUUAUGGUGGGGACUCAGUGGAGACCGCCGGGGUCAACUCGGAGGAAGGUGGGGAUGACGUCAAGUCCUCAUGCCCCUUAUGUCCAGGGCUUCACGCAUGCUACAAUGGCUGGUACAGAGAGUGGCGAGCCUGUGAGGGUGAGCGAAUCUCGGAAAGCCGGUCUCAGUUCGGAUUGGGGUCUGCAACUCGACCUCAUGAAGUCGGAGUCGCUAGUAAUCGCAGAUCAGCAACGCUGCGGUGAAUACGUUCCCGGG
rnacentral:rRNA from 1 species